rnacentral:rRNA from 1 species
AGCGAACGCUGGCGGCAGGCUUAACACAUGCAAGUCGAGCGGACCUUUCGGGGUCAGCGGCGGACGGGUGAGUAACGCGGGGGGACGUGCCUUCCUGUUCGGAAUAUCCCUUGGGAAUUAGGGCUAAUACCGGAUACGCCCUUAUGGUGGAAGGAUGACUGCGGGAUGAUCGGCGCGCGGCUGGUUAGCUUGUGGGUGGGGUAACGGCCUACCAAGGCGGGGCGCAGCAGAUGGGCUGUGAGGAUGAUCAGCCACACUGAGACGGGGAAGCGGCCGAGAAUACUACGCGAGGGGGGAGAGGGGAAUAUUGGCCAAUGGCCGCAACGCUGACGCCGCCAGGGCGAGGAAGUGAUGAAGGCCGUAGGGUUGUAAAGCUCUUUUAUACGGGACGAUAAUGACGGUACCGGAGGAAUAAGCCCCGGCUAACUUCGUG